rnacentral:rRNA from 1 species
UGGUUCCUUUUUGACCAUUGGCUAAAUCCUGAUCCAGCAAUGCCGCGUGUGUUAAGAAGGCCUUCGUGUUUUAAAGCACUUUUGUCCGGAAAGAAAACGCCGUGGUUAAUACCCUUGUCUGAAGACGGUACCCGAAGAAUAAGCACCCGCUAACUACGUGCCAGCAGCCGCGUUAAUACGUAGGGUGCAAGCGUUAAUCGGAAUUACUGGGCGUAAAGCGUGCGCAGGCGGUCCGCUAAGACAGAUGUGAAAUCCCCGGGCUUAACCUGGGAACUGCAUUUGUGACUGGCGGGCUAGAGUAUGGCAGAGGGGGGUAGAAUUCCACGUGUAGCAGUGAAAUGCGUAGAGAUGUGGAGGAAUACCGAUGGCGAAGGCAGCCCCCUGGGCCAAUACUGACGCUCAUGCACGAAAGCGUGGGGAGCAAACAGG